UACGUAGGGUGCAAGCGUUAAUCGGAAUACUGGGCGUAAAGCGUGCGCAGGCGGUUAUGUAAGACAGAUGUGAAAUCCCCGGGCUCAACCUGGGAACUGCAUUUGUGACUGCAUAGCUAGAGUACGGUAGAGGGGGAUGGAAUUCCGCGUGUAGCAGUGAAAUGCGUAGAUAUGCGGAGGAACACCGAUGGCGAAGGCAAUCCCCUGGACCUGUACUGACGCUCAUGCACGAAAGCGUGGGGAGCAAACGAGG
rnacentral:rRNA from 1 species